rnacentral:rRNA from 1 species
GCUUAGCCUUAAACUUCAAUAGUUAAAACAACAAAACUACUCGCCAGAAUACUACAAGCAACAGCUUAAAACUCAAAGGACUUGGCGGUGCUUCGCAUCCCUCUAGAGGAGCCUGUUCUAUAAUCGAUAAACCCUGAUCCACCCCACCAUCUCUUGCUCAGCCUAUAUACCGGCAUCCUCAGCAAACCCUAAUAAAGGCCACAAAGUAAGCAUAAAUGUCCUCGCAAACGUUAGGUCAAGGUGUAGCUUAUGAGAUGGUAAAAAAUGGGCUACAUUUUCUACCCCAGAAAACCCCACGAUAACUCUUAUGAAGCCUGAGUCCAAGGCGGAUUUAGCAGUAAAUUAAGAAUAGAGUGCUUAAUUGAAUCAGGCCAUAAAGCACGC